AACGAACGCUGGCGGCAGGCUUAACACAUGCAAGUCGAGCGCCCCGCAGGGGGAGCGGCAGACGGGUGAGUAACGCGUGGGAAUCUACCCAUCUCUACGGAAUAACGCAUGGAAACGUGUGCUAAUACCGCAUACGUCCUUCGGGAGAAAGAUUUAUCGGAGAUGGAUGAGCCCGCGUUGGAUUAGCUAGUUGGUGGGGUAAAGGCCUACCAAGGCGACGAUCCAUAGCUGGUCUGAGAGGACGAUCAGCCACACUGGGACUGAGACACGGCCCAGACUCCUACGGGAGGCAGCAGUGGGGAAUAUUGGACAAUGGGCGCAAGCCUGAUCCAGCCAUGCCGCGUGAGUGAUGAAGGCCCUAGGGUUGUAAAGCUCUUUCACCGGUGAAGAUAAUGACGGUAACCGGAGAAGAAGCCCCGGCUAACUUCGUGCCAGCAGCCGCGGUAACAC
rnacentral:rRNA from 1 species